GAUGAACGCUGGCGGCGUGCUUAACACAUGCAAGUCGAACGGAGAUUAUACGCAGAGGCGAUUUCGGUCAAAUCAUGUGUAAUCUUAGUGGCGGACGGGUGAGUAACGCGUGGGUAACCUGCCUUACACUGGGGGAUAACACUUAGAAAUAGGUGCUAAUACCGCAUAAGCGCACGAAGCCGCAUGGAUUUGUGUGAAAAACUCCGGUGGUGUAAGAUGGACCCGCGUCUGAUUAGCUUGUUGGCGGGGUAACGGCCCACCAAGGCGACGAUCAGUAGCCGGCCUGAGAGGGUGGACGGCCACAUUGGGACUGAGACACGGCCCAA
rnacentral:rRNA from 1 species